rnacentral:rRNA from 1 species
AAAUUGAAGAGUUUGAUCAUGGCUCAGAUUGAACGCUGGCGGCAGGCCUAACACAUGCAAGUCGAACGGUAACAGGAAGCAGCUUGCUGCUUUGCUGACGAGUGGCGGACGGGUGAGUAAUGUCUGGGAAACUGCCUGAUGGAGGGGGAUAACUACUGGAAACGGUAGCUAAUACCGCAUAAUGUCGCAAGACCAAAGAGGGGGACCUUCGGGCCUCUUGCCAUCAGAUGUGCCCAGAUGGGAUUAGCUAGUAGGUGGGGUAACGGCUCACCUAGGCGACGAUCCCUAGCUGGUCUGAGAGGAUGACCAGCCACACUGGAACUGAGACACGGUCCAGACUCCUACGGGAGGCAGCAGUGGGGAAUAUUGCACAAUGGGCGCAAGCCUGAUGCAGCCAUGCCGCGUGUAUGAAGAAGGCCUUCGGGUUGUAAAGUACUUUCAGCGGGGAGGAAGGCGAUGUGGUUAAUAACCGCGUCGAUUGACGUUACCCGCAGAAGAAGCACCGGCUAACUCCGUGCCAGCAGCCGCGGUAAUACGGAGGGUGCAAGCGUUAAUCGGAAUUACUGGGCGUAAAGCGCACGCAGGCGGUCUGUCAAGUCGGAUGUGAAAUCCCCGGGCUCAACCUGGGAACUGCAUCCGAAACUGGCAGGCUUGAGUCUCGUAGAGGGGGGUAGAAUUCCAGGUGUAGCGGUGAAAUGCGUAGAGAUCUGGAGGAAUACCGGUGGCGAAGGCGGCCCCCUGGACGAAGACUGACGCUCAGGUGCGAAAGCGUGGGGAGCAAACAGGAUUAGAUACCCUGGUAGUCCACGCCGUAAACGAUGUCGACUUGGAGGUUGUGCCCUUGAGGCGUGGCUUCCGGAGCUAACGCGUUAAGUCGACCGCCUGGGGAGUACGGCCGCAAGGUUAAAACUCAAAUGAAUUGACGGGGGCCCGCACAAGCGGUGGAGCAUGUGGUUUAAUUCGAUGCAACGCGAAGAACCUUACCUGGUCUUGACAUCCACAGAACUUUCCAGAGAUGGAUUGGUGCCUUCGGGAACUGUGAGACAGGUGCUGCAUGGCUGUCGUCAGCUCGUGUUGUGAAAUGUUGGGUUAAGUCCCGCAACGAGCGCAACCCUUAUCCUUUGUUGCCAGCGGUCCGGCCGGGAACUCAAAGGAGACUGCCAGUGAUAAACUGGAGGAAGGUGGGGAUGACGUCAAGUCAUCAUGGCCCUUACGACCAGGGCUACACACGUGCUACAAUGGCGCAUACAAAGAGAAGCAAACUCGCGAGAGCAAGCGGACCUCAUAAAGUGCGUCGUAGUCCGGAUUGGAGUCUGCAACUCGACUCCAUGAAGUCGGAAUCGCUAGUAAUCGUGAAUCAGAAUGUCACGGUGAAUACGUUCCCGGGCCUUGUACACACCGCCCGUCACACCAUGGGAGUGGGUUGCAAAAGAAGUAGGUAGCUUAACCUUCGGGAGGGCGCUUACCACUUUGUGAUUCAUGACUGGGGUGAAGUCGUAACAAGGUAACCGUAGGGGAACCUGCGGUUGGAUCACCUCCUUA